rnacentral:rRNA from 1 species
UACGUAGGGGGCGAGCGUUGUCCGAAGUUACUGGGCGUAAAGCGCGCGUAGGCGGGAGAUUAAGUGAGAGGUGAAAGGCUGGGGCUCAACCCCAUGCAGUGCCUCUCAUACUGGUCUUCUUGAGGGCGGUAGGGAGAAGUGGAAUGGCUGGUGUAGCGGUGAAAUACGUAGAUAUCUGGAGGAACACCGGUGGCGAAGGCGGCGAUCUGGCCCAACACUGACACUGAGACCCGAAAGCGUGGGGAUCAAACAGG